GAUGAACGCUGGCGGCGUGCCUAAUACAUGCAAGUCGAGCGAACAGAUGAGGAGCUUGCUCCUCUGACGUUAGCGGCGGACGGGUGAGUAACACGUGGAUAACCUACCUAUAAGACUGGGAUAACUUCGGGAAACCGGAGCUAAUACCGGAUAAUAUAUUGAACCGCAUGGUUCAAUAGUGAAAGACGGUUUUGCUGUCACUUAUAGAUGGAUCCGCGCCGCAUUAGCUAGUUGGUAAGGUAACGGCUUACCAAGGCAACGAUGCGUAGCCGACCUGAGAGGGUGAUCGGCCACACUGGAACUGAGACACGGUCCAGACUCCUACGGGAGGCAGCAGUAGGGAAUCUUCCGCAAUGCGCGAAAGCCUGACGGAGCAACGCCGCGUGAGUGAUGAAGGUCUUCGGAUCGUAAAACUCCGUUAUUAGGGAAGAACAAAUGUGUAAGUAACUAUGCACGUCUUGACGGUACCUAAUCAGAAAGCCACGGCUAACUACGUG
rnacentral:rRNA from 1 species